rnacentral:rRNA from 1 species
UUAAAGGAAUUGACGGGGAGCACCACAACGGGUGGAGCUUGCGGUUUAAUUGGAUUCAACGCCGGAAAUCUUACCGGGACCGACAGCAAUAUGAAGGCCAGGCUGAAGACUUUGCCGGAUUAGCUGAGAGGUGGUGCAUGGCCGUCGUCAGUUCGUACUGUGAAGCAUCCUGUUAAGUCAGGCAACGAGCGAGACCCACGCCCACAGUUGCCAACGUACUCUCUGGAGUGACGGGUACACUGUGGGGACCGCCGCUGCUAAAGCGGAGGAAGGAAUGGGCAACGGUAGGUCAGUAUGCCCCGAAUAUCCCGGGCUACACGCGAGCUACAAUGGUUGGUACAAUGGGUAUCUACCCCGAAAGGGGACGGGAAUCUCCUAAAACCAAUCUUAGUUCGGAUUGAGGGCUGCAACUCGCCCUCAUGAAGCUGGAAUCCGUAGUAAUCGCGUUUCAACAGAACGCGGUGAAUACGUCCCUGCUCCUU